CAGCAGCCGCGGUAAAACGAAGGGGGCUAGCGUUGCUCGGAAUUACUGGGCGUAAAGGGCGCGUAGGCGGACAGUUCAGUCGGGGGUGAAAGCCCGGGGCUCAACCUCGGAAUUGCCUUCGAUACUGGCUGUCUUGAGUAUGAGAGGGGUGUGUGGAACUCCGAGUGUAGAGGUGAAAUUCGUAGAUAUUCGGAAGAACACCAGUGGCGAAGGCGACACACUGGCUCAUUACUGACGCUGAGGCGCUAAAGCGUGGGGAGCAAACAGGAUUAGAUACCCCAGUAGUCCCUGUCUCUUAUAC
rnacentral:rRNA from 1 species